GGGUUGUGAGGUUAAGCGACUAAGCGUACACGGUGGAUGCCCUGGCAGUCAGAGGCGAUGAAGGACGUGCUAAUCUGCGAUAAGCGCCGGUAAGGUGAUAUGAACCGUUAUAACCGGCGAUUUCCGAAUGGGGAAACCCAGUGUGAUUCGUCACACUAUCAUUAACUGAAUCCAUAGGUUAAUGAGGCGAACCGGGGGAACUGAAACAUCUAAGUACCCCGAGGAAAAGAAAUCAACCGAGAUUCCCCCAGUAGCGGCGAGCGAACGGGGAGGAGCCCAGAGCCUGAAUCAGCAUGUGUGUUAGUGGAAGCGUCUGGAAAGGCGCGCGAUACAGGGUGACAGCCCCGUACACAAAAGCGCAUGUGCUGUGAGCUCGAUGAGUAGGGCGGGACACGUGGUAUCCUGUCUGAAUAUGGGGGGACCAUCCUCCAAGGCUAAAUACUCCUGACUGACCGAUAGUGAACCAGUACCGUGAGGGAAAGGCGAAAAGAACCCCGGCGAGGGGAGUGAAAAAGAACCUGAAACCGUGUACGUACAAGCAGUGGGAGCCCCACCACUAAGCCAGUGGUGAACUCCACAUCCGCAUCCUUUGCUGAGGAUACGGUUAACGGAGCGAAAGCGACGUUCAACCGCAAAACAAGCAGAGGGGGCUUAGUGGUGGGGUGACUGCGUACCUUUUGUAUAAUGGGUCAGCGACUUAUAUUCUGUAGCAAGGUUAACCG
rnacentral:rRNA from 2 species